UACGGGGGGGGCAAGCGUUGUUCGGAAUUACUGGGCGUAAAGGGCUCGUAGGUGGCCAACUAAGUCAGACGUGAAAUCCCCCGGCUUAACCGGGGAACUGCGUCUGAUACUGGAUGGCUAGAGAUUGGGAGAGGGACGCGGAAUUCCAGGUGUAGCGGUGAAAUGCGUAGAUAUCUGGAGGAACACCGGUGGCGAAGGCGGCGUCCUGGACCAACACUGACACUGAAAAGCGAAAGCCAGGGGAGCAAACGGG
rnacentral:rRNA from 1 species